UGAUUUUACACUGAAGCAGUGCCUCCAAGCUUGAAAAGACUCAGUGCUCCUUGGGUAUGGGAGGUCUGCCUUGUUGAACUUCUGCCUUGUGGGAACAUGAAGCCCGAGUUACAGUGCUAGGUGGUGUUUAGCAGGAAGAUCUUCAGGAAAGGACUGACACAUUAAACAAGCACUGAAGUAAAGAGAGAAGUGUUUCUACGAACUGUUUCAUCAUGAAUACAUGAAACCAAUAUAGCUGGGAGCCCAGGGAUGAAAGCUUUAAACCUGGAGGGUGCCUGGUGCUUCCUGAGAAUCUCACGGGGGAAACAUUCAGUCCGAAAACAGCUUCGCUGACAGAUAUAUUUUUAUAGCCUAUUAUUUUCUCUCCUCAUUCUUUGUUUCAUUUGAAUAUAAUAGGCUCUUUAUUUUUAACUGCUCGUCUGUUCCUGCCGUUUAUAUCCUCACCCAAAAAUCAUAAUUCUCUUGUUUCAUUUCUUUCUGUCUUUUUUUUUUGUUUUGUUUUUGACAUCACAUUUGGUUACUGUUAAACAUAUGUGCUACAAUGCCUGUAUAGAAGGGACAUUGUUUAUUUUUCUGAGUAAUAAAUUUUCCAUUUUCCUCUCUGUCUUUUCAAAGGAAUCCCAUAUUUCAAUUUGAACCAAAAGGAUAUAGCCCUAUUUAUAGGUUUUGAAUUUUGGCAGUGAUGUAAGUGUGUUAUGUGGUUGUAUGACUUCAUGAGAGGAAAAAAAAAGGAGUUGCAGAUGAAUAUGUAAAAGUGUCAUUUUCCUUUUUAUUUCUCUAAUACACGAGAUGGAGAAAAUACUUCUGAUGCUGCUUCUCCUGGGUGUAGUUGGUGUGUUCUCAUGGGACUGCUCCAGGGUCCCAGCAAAGAAGCUGCCCAUGUCCUUGAGCUACUGAUGCAAUUUUAUAGUGGAUUCAAACAUGAGCAGAUUCAAAUGCUAAUUAAACAAAAUGUACAGAGUGGUUUCGCUGUUUGGAAGUGGAUAAAUGCAUAAUACGAGGCCCAUGCUAGUAAAGUUACUUUUUUCUUUUGUACUUUCCAAAAUCAUGUUUUGUUUGGUCAUUUAAAAAGAAUAGAUGCACAACUUUCUGGCAUGAUAGAUUUUAAUUUGGACAAAUAAGCAUGAUAAGGUACUUGCUUUCAUCUUAUACUUGCAUUCAUCUUAUAAAAUCCAUGUUAGGGUGCUGUCUGUGAGAGCCAGACUGCACGUCUCCCCCCUUCUUACUACCCCUGCACAAACCCACGUCCGCCAGCUACGGGGGACGAAGCAGCAGUGUUUGCUCAAACAGCCUGUGCACGCAGGUGGCUCUGCACAAUGCCAGGUCAGCAUGACAUGAAUGCACCACCUCUGACACUUCGCAGCAGACCUUGUUAUGAGUUCCUGCCCUGUUGAAGCAAAGCAAGUUGGAGAGCCAGUCAGGCUUUGCUCUCUGUGCUGCCACUGACUCUCAGACAAGUUCUUAAAUCUGGGUCUCAGUUUACCCGUCUGUAAGUUAACAACUGCAGUGCUUGUCUCUGGGAGUGUCUGAGAAUAGAACUGGUGGGAAAAACGAUUUUUGUCCCAGAAAACCUGUAGAGAUUAGAAUGUUAUACAUAUGUGAAUAUAAUUAUUUAAUAGAGAAUGUAACUAUAGAUGUAUGUAAAUAUGUAAUUUUAG